rnacentral:rRNA from 1 species
UAGGGAAUCUUCCACAAUGGACGCAAGUCUGAUGGAGCAACGCCGCGUGAGUGAAGAAGGUUUUCGGACCGUAAAGCUCUGUUGUUGGUGAAGAAGGAUAGAGGUAGUAACUGGCCUUUAUUUGAGGNAAUCAACCAGAAAGUCACGGCUAACUACGUGCCAGCAGCCGCGGUAAAUCGUAGGUGGCAAGCGUUGUCCGGAUUUAUUGGGCGUAAAGCGAGCGCAGGCGGAAGAAUAAGUCUGAUGUGAAAGCCCUCGGCUUAACCGAGGAAUUGCAUCGGAAACUGUUUUCUUGAGUGCAGAAGAGGAGAGUAGAACUCCAUGUGUAGCGGUGGAAUGCGUAGAUAUAUGGAAGAAUACCAGUGGCGAAGGCGGCUCUCUGGUCUGCAACUGACGCUGAGGCUCGAAAGCAUGGGUAGCGAACAGGAUUAGAUACCCUUGGUAGU